rnacentral:rRNA from 1 species
AGGACGAACGCUGGCGGUGUGCUUCACACAUGCAAGUCGAACGAGGUAGCAAUACCUAGUGGCGGACGGGUGAGUAACGCGUGGGAAUCUGCCUUUGAAUGGGGGAUAACGGGCCGAAAGGUCCGCUAAUACCGCAUAGGCCGCAAGGUUAAAGGAGUAAUCCGUUCAAAGAUGAGCCCGCGUCCGAUUAGCUAGUUGGUAGGGUAAAAGCCUACCAAGGCGACGAUCGGUAGCUGGUCUGAGAGGAUGAUCAGCCACAAUGGGACUGAGACACGGCCCAUACUCCUACGGGAGGCAGCAGUGGGGAAUUUUACGCAAUGGGCGAAAGCCUGACGUAGCGACACCGCGUGAGCGAAGAAGCCCUUUGGGGUGUAAAGCUCUGUCAGCUGGAACGAAAAAUGACGGUACCAGCAGAGGAAGCAUCGGCUAACUACGCGCCAGCAGCCGC